rnacentral:sRNA from 2 species
UUGCUAUCUGCGAUUUGAACGAUUCGAACCUGCGGCAGGUUCGAGCCGAACGCAGUGAGGCACCGGAGCCGCAGGCGACGGCCCGGAGGGUGAACAACGCGAAUCAUCCUGCACGACCCACCA